AAGUCGUAACAAGGUUUCCGUAGGUGAACCUGCGGAAGGAUCAUUAUUGAAUGAACUUGACUUGGUUGCUGCUGGUCUUUUCGAAGGCAUGUGCACACUUUGUCAUCUUUAUAUCUCCACCUGUGCACCUUUUGUAGACCUGAAACCAAAUUUCCGAGGCAACUCGGUCGUGAGGAAAUGCUUAACAGCUUUCCUUGUUAGGUUCCAGGGCUAUGUUUUCAUAUACACCAUAAGAAUGUAAUAGAAUGUCAUUAUUAGGCUUAGUUGCCUUAUAAACUAUAUACAACUUUCAGCAACGGAUCUCUUGGCUCUC
rnacentral:misc_RNA from 1 species